CAGAACACUCAGUGACUGGUAGAGCUGCCUGGAUUUGGCAGAGUUCCCUUGCCUGGGCACUUGCUGAUUUGCCACGUUGACAUUUCCUUCCACUGAAGACCGACGUGCUUUUCAUCUGUCACCAUCUACUUCAGGGUGAAAAUAAACCAUGGCAGAUGCUCCCUGUUAACCCUCCGGCCUCCCUACCAAGGAAAGCAUUUGCCGAACCCUAAGGAACUUGCAACACAAAGCGCUUGCCCAUGAUGCCCAGAACUCAGUCUCAGACUAAUCCAGGAAAAAAACUGAGAACAGGACGCUUCUGCUUGAAACACUGAAGAGAGAGCAUAGGCUGAAGAUAAAGAUGAUUCAAGGGUAGCACUCCUGAAAUGUAUUCUUAAAUUUAUUAUUUAACAUUGGGCAUUGAAAAACACCAUUUUAUGCCUGCAAGUACAAAUAUUACUAACUUCACAGAUUUAAUGAGAUAUUUAGCACAUAUACAAAUCCUACAGAAAACAUUUCAUAACUGCAAGUUGCUUCCAGAGGCUUAAUAUCCACUUGGCUAGAAAUGCCUUUAUUUCUUCCCAUUCAGAAGAUUCUCAAGCUGAACUCCUCCUCACCAGUUAAUUGCCCAACUGGAGCUGUUCCCCAGCGAUGCAAAGCAGCCACACACACAGCCAGGGCACAUGUGGUGGAUCAUUUGAAAGAUGAUUCUCAGCCCACAGCACUGAGGAGGCUCUGCAGGCUGCCCAGCGGCGGCAAGGACGGCCAAAUCCAAACAGUGACAUGUCCAGAGUGGACAGUGACCUGAGCAGCCCGAAACAGAGGGCUCUCACAGGGGGGACAUGGACGGGUACAUGGCAAAGAACUUCUCAAAGGACAAUCUGUGGAUGUUUUUGUCUGGCAAACAGUGAUUCGGGAACAGCAAGCAUGCAUUUUCCUAUAAUGCUUAAGUUGUCAUAAACCAUUUAUAAGCUUAAUGUUCUUUUCCUACUCUUUACUGUACCCUUUCACAACGUGAACAACAAAUAAAU